ACGCAGGAGAGAUGGCGCCGU
rnacentral:miRNA from 1 species